rnacentral:rRNA from 1 species
AAUGAACGCUGGCGGCGUGCUUAACACAUGCAAGUCGAACGAGAAAGGGUGAUUCGUCACCCGAGUAAAGUGGCGCACGGGUGAGUAACGCGUAGGCAACCUGCCCAAGUGUUUGGGAUAACCCCGCGAAAGCGGGGCUAAUACCGGAUACGAUCAUUGGUCGAGAGAUUGGUGAUGAAAGCCUGCCACUCGAAGAAGCAGGCGCACAUGGAGGGACCUGCGUCCUAUCAGCUAGUUGGUAGGGUAACGGCCUACCAAGGCGACGACGGGUAGCUGGGCUGAAAGGAUGAUCAGCCACACUGGCACUGGAACACGGGCCAGACUCCUACGGGAGGCAGCAGUGAGGAAUUUUGCGCAAUGGCCGCAAGGCUGACGCAGCAACGCCGCGUGGGUGAUGAAGGCCUUCGGGUCGUAAAGCCCUGUCAGGUGGGAAGAAAGGUUUCCGGUCGAAUAGGCUGGGGAUUUGACGGUACCACCAGAGGAAGCACCGGCUAACUCCGUGCCAGCCGCCGCCGUAAAAC